rnacentral:rRNA from 1 species
GGAGCGUUCUGUAAGCCUGCGAAGGUGUGCUGUGAGGCAUGCUGGAGGUAUCAGAAGUGCGAAUGCUGACAUAAGUAACGAUAAAGCGGGUGAAAAGCCCGCUCGCCGGAAGACCAAGGGUUCCUGUCCAACGUUAAUCGGGGCAGGGUGAGUCGACCCCUAAGGCGAGGCCGAAAGGCGUAGUCGAUGGGAAACAGGUUAAUAUUCCUGUACUUGGUGUUACUGCGAAGGGGGGACGGAGAAGGCUAUGUUGGCCGGGCGACGGUUGUCCCGGUUUAAGCGUGUAGGCUGGUUUUCCAGGCAAAUCCGGAAAAUCAAGGCUGAGGCGUGAUGACGAGGCACUACGGUGCUGAAGCAACAAAUGCCCUGCUUCCAGGAAAAGCCUCUAAGCAUCAGGUAACAUCAAAUCGUACCCCAAACCGACACAGGUGGUCAGGUAGAGAAUACCAAGGCGCUUGAGAGAACUCGGGUGAAGGAACUAGGCAAAAUGGUGCCGUAACUUCGGGAGAAGGCACGCUGAUAUGUAGGUGAAGUCCCUUGCGGAUGGAGCUGAAAUCAGUCGAAGAUACCAGCUGGCUGCAACUGUUUAUUAAAAACACAGCACUGUGCAAACACGAAAGUGGACGUAUACGGUGUGACGCCUGCCCGGUGCCGGAAGGUUAAUUGAUGGGGUCAGCGCAAGCGAAGCUCUUGAUCGAAGCCCCGGUAAACGGCGGCCGUAACUAUAACGGUCCUAAGGUAGCGAAAUUCCUUGUCGGGUAAGUUCCGACCUGCACGAAUGGCGUAAUGAUGGCCAGGCUGUCUCCACCCGAGACUCAGUGAAAUUGAACUCGCUGUGAAGAUGCAGUGUACCCGCGGCAAGACGGAAAGACCCCGUGAACCUUUACUAUAGCUUGACACUGAACAUUGAGCCUUGAUGUGUAGGAUAGGUGGGAGGCUUUGAAGUGUGGACGCCAGUCUGCAUGGAGCCGGCCUUGAAAUACCACCCUUUAAUGUUUGAUGUUCUAACGUGGACCCGUGAUCCGGGUUGCGGACAGUGUCUGGUGGGUAGUUUGACUGGGGCGGUCUCCUCCUAAAGAGUAACGGAGGAGCACGAAGGUUGGCUAAUCCUGGUCGGACAUCAGGAGGUUAGUGCAAUGGCAUAAGCCAGCUUGACUGCGAGCGUGACGGCGCGAGCAGGUGCGAAAGCAGGUCAUAGUGAUCCGGUGGUUCUGAAUGGAAGGGCCAUCGCUCAACGGAUAAAAGGUACUCCGGGGAUAACAGGCUGAUACCGCCCAAGAGUUCAUAUCGACGGCGGUGUUUGGCACCUCGAUGUCGGCUCAUCACAUCCUGGGGCUGAAGUAGGUCCCAAGGGUAUGGCUGUUCGCCAUUUAAAGUGGUACGCGAGCUGGGUUUAGAACGUCGUGAGACAGUUCGGUCCCUAUCUGCCGUGGGCGCUGGAGAACUGAGGGGGGCUGCUCCUAGUACGAGAGGACCGGAGUGGACGCAUCACUGGUGUUCGGGUUGUCAUGCCAAUGGCACUGCCCGGUAGCUAAAUGCGGAAGAGAUAAGUGCUGAAAGCAUCUAAGCACGAAACUUGCCCCGAGAUGAGUUCUCCCUGACCCUUUAAGGGUCCUGAAGGAACGUUGAAGACGACGACGUUGAUAGGCCGGGUGUGUAAGCGCAGCGAUGCGUUGAGCUAACCGGUACUAAUGAACCGU